GGCUAGAGUGUGGGAGAGGAAGAUGGAAUUAGUUGUGUAGGGGUAAAAUCCGUAGAGAUAACUAGGAAUACCAAAAGCGAAGGCAAUCUUCUGGAACACUACUGACGCUGAGGCGCGAAGGCGUGGGGAGCAAACAGGAUUAGAUACCCUGGUAGUCCACGCAGUAAACGAUGAAUGUUAGUCGUCGGGUAGCUAGUCUAUUCGGUGAUGCAGCUAACGCAUUAAACAUUCCGCCUGGGGAGUACGGUCGCAAGAUUAAAACUCAAAGGAAUAGACGGGGACCCGCACAAGUGGUGGAGCAUGUGGUUUAAUUCGAAGAUACGCGAAGAACCUUACCUAGCCUUGACAUAUAUUAGAACUCCGCAGAGAUGCAGAGGUGCCUUCGGGAGCUUUUAUACAGGUGCUGCACGGCUGUCGUCAGCUCGUGUCGUGAGAUGUUGGGUUAAGUCCCGCAACGAGCGCAACCCUCGUCACUAGUUACUAACGGUUCGGCCGAGGACUCUAGUGAGACUGCCUUCGUAAGGAGGAGGAAGGUGAGGACGACGUCAAGUCAUCAUGGCCCUUACGGCUAGGGCAACACACGUGCUACAAUGGCCAGGACAGUGAGACGCGAUACCGCGAGGUGGAGCAAAUCUAUAAACCUGGUCUCAGUUCGGAUUGUAGUCUGCAACUCGACUACAUGAAGCUGGAAUCACUAGUAAUCGUAGAUCAGCUAUGCUAC
rnacentral:rRNA from 1 species